CAAUCUGCCUUGGAGUGGGGAAUAACGGUUGGAAACAGCCGCUAAUACCGCAUGAUGCGUCUGGGAGGCAUCUCUCUGGACGCCAAAGAUUUAUCGCUCUGAGAUGAGCUCGCGUCUGAUUAGCUUGUUGGCGGGGUAAAGGCCCACCAAGGCGACGAUCAGUAGCCGGACUGAGAGGUUGGCCGGCCACAUUGGGACUGAGACACGGCCCAGACUCCUACGGAAGGCAGCAG
rnacentral:rRNA from 1 species